rnacentral:lncRNA from 1 species
AUUUUUUUUUUUAAAGCAGUGAAUCAUUCACCGUCUCGUUCACUGUCUUUAAGAGACAGUGAAUGAUUUACCGUCUUCGACGGUGAACGAUUUACCGUUUUCAUAAUUUUAUAUUAUACUGGUAGGGAUUAUACAUAAGAAAGAGAAAAAAAAAUGGUUAGAAUUAUAUGUGGAUUAUAUGAAAAAUAGAAAAAAAAUAAGAUUGUUAGGAUUAUACAUGGAUUAUUAAAAUUUUUAUUUGAUUGUUAGGAUUGUAUGGAUAGAUUAUUAGGAUUUUCAGAUUGUUAAGAUUAUAUGUGAUUUGUUGAAAUUUUUACGUAGUUGUUAGGAUUAUAUAUGGGAUAUAGAAAGAAAAGUUAGUGUUAUUAGUUAUGAAUUGUUGAGAAACAGAGUAAAGUAUAGAAUUGUGUGAUUUCGAUCUUCCUUGGCUAUCUAC